UGGGGAAUUUUGCACAAUGGGGGAAACCCUGAUGCAGCGACGCCGCGUGAUUUAGAAGGCCUUCGGGUUGUAAAAAUCUUUUGUAUGGGAAGAAAAUGAUAGUACCAUACGAAUAAGGACCGGCUAAUUACGUGCCAGCAGCCGCGGUAAUACGUAAGGUCCGAGCGUUGUCCGGAAUCAUUGGGCGUAAAGGGUACGUAGGCGGAUAAGCAAGUUAGAAGUGAAAUCCUAUAGCUCAACUAUAGUAAGCUUUUAAAACUGCUCAUCUUGAGGUAUGGAAGGGAAAGUGGAAUUCCUAGUGUAGCGGUGAAAUGCGCAGAUAUUAGGAGGAAUACCGGUGGCGAAGGCGACUUUCUGGCCAUAUACUGACGCUGAGGUACGAAAGCGUGGGUAGCAAACAGG
rnacentral:rRNA from 1 species